UACGUAGGGUGCAAGCGUUAAUCGGAAUUACUGGGCGUAAAGCGUGCGCAGGCGGUUAUGUAAGACAGAUGUGAAAUGCCCGGGCUUAACCUGGGAACUGCAUUUGUGACUGCAUGGCUAGAGUUUGGCAGAGGGGGGUAGAAUUCCACGUGUAGCAGUGAAAUGCGUAGAUAUGUGGAGGAACACCGAUGGCGAAGGCAGCCCCCUGGGUCAAGACUGACGCUCAUGCACGAAAGGCGUGGGAGCAAACGAGGAUUACGAA
rnacentral:rRNA from 1 species